UGGGGAAUAUUGGACAAUGGGCGCAAGCCUGAUCCAGCCAUGCCGCGUGAGUGAUGAAGGCCUUAGGGUUGUAAAGCUCUUUCGCCGACGAAGAUAAUGACGGUAGUCGGAGAAGAAGCCCCGGCUAACUUCGUGCCAGCAGCCGCGGUAAUACGAAGGGGGCUAGCGUUGUUCGGAAUCACUGGGCGUAAAGCGCACGUAGGCGGAUUGUUAAGUCAGGGGUGAAAGCCUGGAGCUCAACUCCAGAACUGCCCUUGAUACUGGCAAUCUCGAGUCCGGAAGAGGUAAGUGGAACUGCGAGUGUAGAGGUGAAAUUCGUAGAUAUUCGCAAGAACACCAGUGGCGAAGGCGGCUUACUGGUCCGGUACUGACGCUGAGGUGCGAAAAGCGUGGGGAGCAAAACAGGAUUAGAUACCCUGGUAGUCCACGCCGUAAACGAUGGAGGCUAGCCGUUGGCGAGCAUGCUCGUCAGUGGCGCAGCUAACGCAUUAAGCCUCCCGCCUGGGGAGUACGGUCGCAAGAUUAAAAACUUAAAUGAAUUGACGGGGUCAUAGCUGUUUCCU
rnacentral:rRNA from 1 species